UGAUAAAAAGAAAAAAAAGAGGUGUUUUA
rnacentral:piRNA from 1 species